CAGCACCUCAAGUGGUCAGGAUGAUUAUUGGGCCUAAAGCGUCCGUAGCCGGUUCAGAAAAUCUUUUGUGAAAUUGGUGAACUAAAUUCAUCAACGUGCAGAAGACACUACUGGACUUGAGACCGGGAGGGGUUGGGAGUAUUCUAGGGGGAGCGGUAAAAUGUUAUAAUCCCUGGAGGACUACCUAUGGCGAAGGCAUCUGACCAGAACGAAUCUGACUGUGAGGGACGAAAGCCAGGGGAGCGAUCCGGAUUAGAUACCCGAGUAGUCC
rnacentral:rRNA from 1 species